rnacentral:rRNA from 1 species
UACGUAGGUGGCAAGCGUUGUCCGGAAUUAUUGGGCGUAAAGCGCGCGCAGGCGGUCCUUUAAGUCUGAUGUGAAAGCCCACGGCUCAACCGUGGAGGGUCAUUGGAAACUGGGGGACUUGAGUACAGAAGAGAAGAGUGGAAUUCCACGUGUAGCGGUGAAAUGCGUAGAGAUGUGGAGGAACACCAGUGGCGAAGGCGACUCUUUGGUCUGUAACUGACGCUGAGGCGCGAAAGCGUGGGGAGCAACCAGG